CUGAGCUAGAGGGAGAGAGCAUGUAGGCAACAUGGCUCGACUUUCGUGGCUGCUGCGAGUCUAACUUCCAAAAAGCAGCUCUUCUCAACCUCAGUUGACAGAGAAACGAGGCAUGGCUGGAACGUUUCGCAGAUGCUUGCUCUGUUGUACAACAGCAAUGGUCACGUUAAUUGCUAUGGUGGAUUUUGAGUGCCCCUCCUCCAAACCCAACUACCAGGACUGGGAUUCUAAAGCUGAGAAGCUGUGUCUGUGGGGGAAAGGAAAACACCAGGCUGAUUGAUAGAUGUGGAUGGGUGGACCAACCAACUAAACAAGUGGCUUAGUAAGUGGAGCAGAAGACAAAAUUCCCCUAGUGCACAACAGACUGGCACGCAUGCAUUUAUCCAAAGAGCUAAGGGCCCAAGGUGGGGAAAGGUUUGUUUGCUUUGCUUGUCUCAUUAUUCCCACUAAUGAGCAUGAAUACAGUACGUAAUGGCUGAUACUUGAUUGCUUUGCUUCUCUUAUGGCAAAAUAUCUUGAUUGCUUGGAAAAAGGUUUGUUUGCUUUGCUUGUCUCAUUAUUCCCACUAAUGAGCAUGAAUACAAUACGUAAUGGCUGAUACUUGAUUGCUUUGCUUCUCUUAUGGCAAAAUAUCUUGAUUGCUUGGAAAAAGGUUUGUUUGCUUUACUUGUCUCAUAUGUGGAAUAUUAUCUGGGGGACUAUUUGUCUAUUGGCUAUGAUCUUUCCACGAUCAACAUUUGGUAAAAGGGUGGCUCAAAAUGGUCAAAGAAGUGUAUGUGCAUGUAAGCUGACGAUUGGUUGGAAUGGUUUGUGCUUUGCUAAUGAUUAUCAUUUUCUGUAAAGAAAUUCUUAGCCAUUGAAAGACUCAUUUUGGUUAUGAUGAUGACCAAAUUUGAUGCAUGAUUAA